rnacentral:ncRNA from 1 species
GUUCAAAAGAGGAAAGGCUUGCGGUGGAUACCUAGACACCCAGAGACGAGGAAGGGCGUAGCAAGCGACGAAAUGCUUCGGGGAGUUGAAAAUAAGCAUAGAUCCGGAGAUUCCCAAAUAGGUCAACCUUUUAAACUGCCUGCUGAAUCCAUGAGCAGGCAAGAGACAACCUGGCGAACUGAAA